GAUGUCACCAUGUUCUUAUACUAUCGGAAAUGGGAAAUGGGUAAUUUUUUCCCUUUAUACUGAGAAUACCCCUAGAAGGGAGUAUAACCUAAGGAAGGAUUGGAGAAAAAAAGCAGCAGAACCCUUUGUCAUGAUUGUUCACAGAAUGUGUGCUAAAUGUUCCCAUUGUGUUUUUCAGAACAACCUUCUUACCCCAGAGCCCAGUUCAGGGAGUCAUUGUGCUUUCCCAGAAAGAUCCUGAUUCUCUGGGUUUAAACCUGAGCUUUGUGACUUUCCAGUUGAGUAAGAUUCAAGAAGGAAGAAGGGAAGGGCAUGAUGGGAAUGAGAAGACGUGUUUUCUUCUGGAAGGACCUCGGGGAGGCCAUGUGGAUGGAAACGUGCUGUCAAGAGGUGGUCAAGCACAGGGUCUGGAGGGAGACUACCCACAUCUGAUGGCCCACCAGUGCCUAUCUUUGAGAUUCUGGUUCACCAAUUCACUCCCUGGGCCCGUGCACGUAUGUGUGCAUGUAUAUGUACAUGAUGAUGCACACACAAUCCCCAACCAUGAAAGAGGAGCAGUGAUAGUGCUCAUCUCCUGGUGUUACAGUGAAGAGUCAGUGAGACAGUGCAUGGCUAGUACGGCAGGCUUCCUGACACAUAACUCACACUGAUUAAAAUGACAGCUGUCUUGGGCACCUGUGUGGCUCAGGUGGUUAAGUGGCUGCCUUUGGCUCAGGUCGUGGUCCCGGGAUCGAGCCCCUCGACUCCCUGCUCAGCAAGAGUCUGCUUCUCCCUCUCCCUCUGCCUGCUGCUCCCCCCACAUGUGCUCUCUCUCUCUCUCUCUCUCUCUCUCUAUGUGUGCCAAAUAAACAAAUAAAAUCUAAAAAAAAAAAAUAAAAA
rnacentral:lncRNA from 1 species